rnacentral:lncRNA from 1 species
GCUUACCUCAGUGUGUCAGCAAGAGACUCCAUUUCCUUUAGAAUCAGCUUCCUAGUCUCAUUAUGUUCCUUUUCUAUUGGUUUCCUUGUAUAUUUUAUGUAAAUUGGUUAACUCUGUAUGCCCUGACAUAUUUAUCAGUCCCUUCAGUUUGAAUAUGUACACUCUCACCUUCCUGAUGAAAAUGUAGUGUCCCAGGUACAGGUACCUGUGAGACAUAGCAUAGGCAUUCCCUAGCUUAGGUGCAGAUCAUCCUAGCAGAUACUUAGGAAAUACUAAUGUCUGUGACAGAGCACAGCCAGCUUAGGUAUGGCCCACCUUAGCAGGUACCUAGUGUUAGGGGUUCAACAUUCUUCAUUUCUAACUCCUUGAAUAUCACUUAUUCUUUCAUAGUGGUGUUUUGAGUGUCUAAAAAUGCAUGGGGUCUUGAAUAGGCAACCAGAAUGGGCUGAGCAUCCAUUCUUUUUGUUUGGAGAGACACACUAUUCCUUUUCCUCUUCAAGGCUUUCUCAGAAGUAUUCAGUAUGUAGAACGUAAGAACCUCCUGAAGCUAGGAGCAGAGACUGAGGCUGAUUGGAGCCCCUGGAGGCUAUCAGUGUCCUUUGCUUGUCCUGUCGCAUAUGUUUGCAUUAGGUCUGGCUAGAUGACAGCUAAGUCAGAAGUUACAAGAAAAAAAAAAGAGAAAAGAAAAAGAGCUUUUACUGAGUCACAGGACCCCCAGCCUCUUUUGUGGAACAGCAUUGUUGAUUGAUUAAAGUCUUUAUGAUCCAAACAUGUCCGAACAGUUCAAAGGCAAGAACAGUGCUGGUAUAAAGCUUCUAGGGGAAUAUGCAAAACCUAUUUAAAUUUUUGGUGCAUAUCUCUAAGGAAAGUGUGUUGAGCAUAUUGGCAAAUCAAAUGGCUAGUGAUUGUGGAAGUCCAGAUUCCUGGUGGUACAGAAAAGCCAGAGCCAAGAUUUUAUUUUACUUCCUUUUACUCUUUGAGGAGAAUAUCCUAGAGUUCAUUUUCCAAGUUCAGAGCAAAUCAAGAUUCAGACUAUCUCAAACCAGCUCCUCUGCGCUGGUGAAUUAGUACUUAAUGCCCUGUUCUUCACUUCUAUGUUCCUGAGAUUAUAAAUCAAAGCCAGCCGUACAGGUCAGCCACCAGCUCGUGUCACUAAAGGAUUGUGUGCUUCAGUUUUUAAGAAGCUGCCUGAUUUAGUUAGGAGAGGAGCUCCAGUCCAUUUGUACUCAGCUGGAGAACCUGCUACAAGUGAAGCAGCUCUCCCAGGUGUCUCUUUGCUUCUAUCCAGUGUGAGAAGAUGCCUUCUCAUCUCAGAUACAACUGGAAUGAUUAAUGCAACAUUUUUGGUGUUUUGGAAUCCAUCAUGAGCUGGUGUCUGCUGAGUAAGUCCAUGUCGCUGUGCUAGCCUUGAAGGACUUAUAUGCCCCUUGAAUGAUGGGUGGGCCAUAAUAUACCUGUAAAAAGAUGAGCCACACUUCAAAAUCUGUAUCUAUAUGUUACAUGAAGUUAUGUAGCAGUGGAGACAAGAGGUGGACAGAGGCUGCAACAGGAUAGAAGAUGCUGAGGAGGACAAGGGCUUAGCUAUGCAGCUGAGAGAGAGGCAGCACCACGCCAUCUGGAAGGAACAAAACACAGCAAGAGCUGGAGUGAUGCUCAGAACUGGUAAAAGACCAAAGAUGAAAAGAAGCCUAGAGACACAAAUGGGAGUUCUGGCCUCUUGCAAGGUCGCUUUAGUUUCCACACAGCACCAUUUAAAGUGUAUGUCUGUUGGAUCUCCCUAAAUUUCUUAGUCCUACAUAACUAAGAAGGUAUGAGUUUACAGUGAGGUGAAUUUUGAAAUUCUCUGUUCCUUUGGCAGCAUGGUCAAAGGCUGUUGUAUUCAGAAGGGUUUCCUUCCCUGACAAUGAAAGCAACAUCUUAAAAUAAAUAAUAAAAAAGUAAAGAAUCUUGACUAGGAAUCUGAUGAAAAUUAUAACCUUGAAAUAUGGCUAAGACUCUGUGUAGAUUUGCAUCUUGCUUUCUCAUUUAGUGUUUGUUAUCAUAGGAGCACAUAUGCAUAUUCUUAAAAGCCACACGGCAUCACUUUGUAUCGCAUGCCAUGGAAUAUCACUUUCUGUGCUUAGGCAUUUUGAUAACACUGCUAUGAACAUACUUUGUGCAUGUCCUUGUCUAGGUAUCCUCAGUAAGUCCUCAAGAUCAAGUCCUAGAAGUAGGACAAGUUAAGUCAAGUCAUAAGGACAUCAUGGUUACUGGUAUUAAUUAACAGCCACUUCCCAGAAAAGCUUUGCUCAUUCAUUUAGGCCCAUAUACCAGCCAUUCUCAACUCGUAGGUUGUGACCCCCUUGGGAGAUGAAUGACCCUUUCACAGGGGUUGCCUAAGAUCAGAAAACACAGAUACUUACAUUACAAUUCUUAGCAACAAAAAUAAUUUUAUGAUUGGAAUCACCACACAUGAGGAACUGUAUUAAAGGGUCAUUGCAUUAGGAAGGUUGAAAACCACUGCCAUAUACAAUACAUGAGCGAGCCUGUAUUUUUUUAGGAAUAUUUUAAUGUGAUUGUUUGCCUGUAUGUGUGUCUGUGCACCACUUGCAUGCUUGAUGCUGUCCAAAGCCAGAAGAUGUACAUCAUCCGGUUCCGUAGAAUUAGAAUUAUAGGCAGGUGUAGGCUGAAAACUGAAUUUGGGUCUGACUCUUCAAGAGCAGUAAGUGCUUUUAAAUGCUGAGCCAUCUCUCCAUUCCCCUUAGUGAGCCCAUUGUAGCUGUGCCGAUAAGCACACACCAUCCUCUCUACCAGCUUCUCACAAAACUACUUUGAACAACUCUGUAAGACAGGUUAAAUAAGGCACCUCCACUUCUCAAAUUACAGUGCAGUGGGCAACAUGAGGCUGCAAUCAUUGCUUAAAGAUGUUGCUCAGAAGUCAGGCCUCCCCAAACAGUCUUUCUAUUUGUACUAUUCUUUAAGUGACUCUGUUUUCAUAGCUUUCCUUUAAAUUAAUCUUGUAUUGUCAAAGUGUGUUCAACAGAAUUUUUCAUAGUUCUAUAGUAUGCCAGUAAGUGAUUUACUUUGAAUGGAUGCUAGAGUAAAUAGGAUCUGGGUCACACCGAGCUGAACAGGUAUGCCAGUGAAUACAGAGAAUCAACCUCAGAGAGCCUCUCAGCACACCUCAGGAAGUAGUGUUGUUAUUUCUUGCCUUUUCUUCUGCAUUUAUCCCUUCCCUUCCUGCUUCUAUUGUUUCUUUGGUUUUCAAUCUAGAAUACAUUGAACAAUACAAUGAUCCUGCAUUUUAAAAUGCUUUCACUUGGAGGUGUCUGUCAGAAAGAUUCCCUAUCCUGAUAUAAUUGUGUCCAGUAUCCUGCCUCCCCCCAC